GGGUGUUUUAAGGCAUAAAAGACAAAAUUGAAACCCAAAAAUCUGCUCAUUCUUUCUCCAUGCUGCCGAAACUUUCAGCAAGCCAUGGCUAGGGUUUCAAGCUUUUUCAAAGUUCAAUUAUCAAAGAAAUCAAGAUUUGGACCAAAUACGGGGAAAUGUCAAUCAAAAUAAUCGACUCGCGUUGAGUAUCGCCAAGUUAGCUCGGGAAUCGGUGGACGUCGGAGAUUUGCUCACACUAUCAAUUAGAACACUUGGUAUAUCUAGAUACAUAAAUUUUUGGGUUACGGCAUGUAUAGUAGGUUUGGUCGUUUUGUCAUAUAUGUCAGAUUUCUUAUGGCCUAAAAUGUUGACCUUUAUUUAAUAAAUGUUCUUUUUGAUUAAGGCUA